UACAGAGGGGGCAAGCGUUGUUCGGAAUUACUGGGCGUAAAGGGCGCGUAGGCGGCCAUCUAAGUCAGACGUGAAAUCCCCCGGCUUAACCUGGGAACUGCGUCUGAUACUGGGAGGCUUGAGUAUGGGAGAGGGAUGUAGAAUUCCAGGUGUAGCGGUGAAAUGCGUAGAUAUCUGGAGGAAUACCUGUGGCGAAGGCGGCAUCCUGGACCAUAACUGACGCUGAUGCGCGAAAGCUAGGGGAGCAAACGGG
rnacentral:rRNA from 1 species